rnacentral:rRNA from 1 species
GGGCCCGCACAAGCGGUGGAGCAUGUGGUUUAAUUCGAUGAUACGCGAGGAACCUUACCAGGGCUUAAAUGUGGUUUGACAGCUUUAGAGAUAGAGUUUUCUUCGGACAAAUCACAAGGUGCUGCAUGGUUGUCGUCAGCUCGUGCCGUGAGGUGUCAGGUUAAGUCCUAUAACGAGCGCAACCCCUGUUGUUAGUUGCCAGCGAGUAAUGUCGGGAACUCUAGCAAGACUGCCGGUGCAAACCGUGAGGAAGGUGGGGAUGACGUCAAAUCAUCACGGCCCUUACGUCCUGGGCUACACACGUGCUACAAUGGUAGGGACAGAGAGCAGCCACUUCGUGAGAAGGAGCGAAUCUCAAAAAGCCUAAUCGUAGUCCAGAUUGGAGUCUGCAACUCGACUCCAUGAAGUAGGAAUCGCUAGUAUCG